GAAAAAAAGGUGACCUGAACAGACACAUGAUUAUUCAUACAGGAGAAAAGCAAUUUGGCUGUUCUGAAUGUGGGAAAAGAUUUAGACAAAAGAGCGACAUGAAUAAACACAUGGUAAUUCAUACAGGAGAAAAACAAUUUGGGUGCUCUGAAUGUGGGAAAAAAUUUAGACGAAAGGGUGACAUUAACAAACACAUCAUAAUUCAUACAGGGCAAAAACCAUUUGGCUGUUCUGAAUGUGAUCGAAGAUUUGGUCAAAUGAGCUAUCUGAACAGACACAUGAUAAUUCAUUCAGGACAAAAACAAUUUGGCUGUUCUGAUUGUGGUAGAAGAUUUAGACUAAAGAGCAACCUGAAGAGACACAUGAUAAUUCAUAUGUCAUCUGUCAAUGCUGCAGGGAGACAUCUUUCCUGUGGCAGCACUCAGCCCACUAAUCCACCAGAUCACCAAACUACUGAUCUUGGACCACAGCAGCAACAGCCUUAAAGGACCAAAAUAACUGAGCCAAACAAACAACACUGUAAAUUAAUCCACUGAGGAGAAGAAAAAGCUCUUACACUGCUUUGCUUACUCAAGGUACAAGAAGUGGGGCAUUGGAAAAAAGGCAGUAUUUGAGGAAGGGAUAAAAUAAGUGGAUCUACCAGCAGAGAAGAAAGAAAAUACCACAACUUCAAAACUACAAUUGAUUGCCUCUUAAUUCCCAAAAUAUUUAACAGCAGAAAAAGUAUAAAGGAAGAAGCCCAAGAAAAAGUAAUAAAUGAUCAGUCGCUAGAGGAAGGGAAAGAGGUCAAGUAUGAAAGGAGUCACUGGAAGAGGGAGGAAGAAUGGGUACUGCUGUGGGCAAUAGAAUAUGCCAAAGUGAAAUACACUAAUCAGACAGAAAGAUGCAAUGAAUGGCAAAAAAUAUUCCACCACCACUGCCCAAGUAAGAAAGGCAUCCCAUGAGGGUGACUCACCACCCAAAUACACAACUUUAUCGCACAUAAACACUUAUCGGAUGCGGAAAUACAACAAUACAAUACAAAUGCAACACGAGGUUGGGCAAAUGGUCAGGGACGGCAUCUGCCCUCUGACACAACCCAUUGCUCCACCUAGAAAUGACUGUCCUCAGAAAGCAUACAGCCUACAAAACAUACCAGACCAAGCCAGCCUCUCACACCAAAGAAGAAGUAGGAGUCAAACACCACACCAACACAAAAGGAAUCAGACACCCCCCCCCCCCCCCCAAAAAAAAAGGAGCCAUUCACUAACUCAUGCACAAAACAAUAUACAGGUGCACACAGACCCAGAACAGUGGGAAUUAGAAGAGGAAUUGGCAAAUAAGAUUGAGGAAACAAUAAAAUGGACAUGAAAGAGCAUCCAAAACUGACUAAAUUAAACAAUAAAAAAUUCAAAACUAUCCUACAAAGGUUAACUUGGGACUGGCUAAACUGGUCCCAGAAGGAACACAUUGACAGAUUUAAACUGUGUAAAUUAUGGAGCGGCAUGGUACAUACAAAGUAAAUUAGCCCCACAUGAUUUGGAGAGAAAAGGAACCACAAUUAAGAAAAAGAAUACCGUGUUCAAUGGAAAAAAAAAAUUACAACAAAAAAAUCAGCUGCCCAAGAGCAGAGAUCUCCCAAAUGGCAACAUUUUGGGAGGCCAAAAACAUAAAGGAAUCUCCUUAAAAAGUGCGUUAAAAGAAAAUACAAUGUUGAAGAUAAAAAAAAACUGGGUGGGAGGCGGCUGAACGUCAAGCCUUAGUGAAAGCUUUUGCUGCACAAAUUAGGAACAAAGACAAGAAAAUACAAGCAAAACAGCUAAACAAGCAAUUUGCAAAAAAAAAAGAAAAGACAACAACAACAAAAAAAAA